UACGUAGGGUGCAAGCGUUGUCCGGAAUUAUUGGGCGUAAAGAGCUCGUAGGCGGUCUGUUACGUCGGCUGUGAAAACCUGGGGCUCAACCCCGGGCCUGCAGCCGAUACGGGCAGACUAGAAUUCGGUAGGGGAGACUGGAAUUCCUGGUGUAGCGGUGAAAUGCGCAGAUAUCAGGAGGAACACCGGUGGCGAAGGCGGGUCUCUGGGCCGAUACUGACGCUGAGGUGCGAAAGCGUGGGGAGCAAACAGG
rnacentral:rRNA from 1 species